rnacentral:rRNA from 1 species
AGAUUGAACGCUGGCGGCAUGCUUUACACAUGCAAGUCGAACGGUAACAGGCCGCAAGGUGCUGACGAGUGGCGAACGGGUGAGUAAUGUAUCGGAACGUGCCCAGUCGUGGGGGAUAACGCAGCGAAAGCUGCGCUAAUACCGCAUACGAUCUAUGGAUGAAAGCGGGGGACCUAAGGCCUCGCGCGAUUGGAGCGGCCGAUAUCAGAUUAGGUAGUUGGUGGGUAAAGGCUCACCAAGCCAACGAUCUGUAGCUGGUCUGAGGGGACGACCAGCCACACUGGGACUGAGACACGGCCCAGACUCCUACGGGAGGCAGCAGUGGGAAUUUUGGACAAUGGGCGCAAGCCUGAUCCAGCAAUGCCGCGUGCUGGAAGAAGGCCUUCGGUU